rnacentral:rRNA from 1 species
GACGAACGCUGGCGGCGUGCCUAAUACAUGCAAGUCGAGCGAAGCAGCUUUGGAGGCUUGCCUUCGGAGCUGACUGAGCGGCGGACGGGUGAGUAACACGUGGGUAAUCUGCCUACAAGACCGGGACAACUCUGGGAAACCGGGGCUAAUACCGGAUGUUCUCCCUAGGAUGAUGUUCUGGGGGAAAGUGGCCUCUGCUUGCAAGCUACCGCUUGUAGAUGAGCCCGCGGCCCAUUAGCUAGUUGGCGGGUAAAGGCCCACCAAGGCGACGAUGGGUAGCCGGUCUGAGAGGAUGGCCGGCCACACUGGGACUGAGACACGGCCCAGACUCCUACGGGAGGCAG